rnacentral:lncRNA from 10 species
AGGAAAUCCCUCUGUCAUCUGCCGCUGUUUGGGGCCAAAAGCUUGAACUGUGAUGAAUUUUGUGAAAGGGAGAACUGCCUCAUUCUGCCAAAGCCGUUCAGAAGUGAGUCACUAGCCCAGAACAGGCCCCACAUAGCUGCACCAGCUCAGACUCCAUCUAGCUGCACCUGCAGGAGCUAAGGCUCGAGGUGGACAUCGGGCCUGGGCCCCAGGGCAGAGUCAUGACCAACAGGGGGCAGCCCAGGGAGCUACUCCCCAGCCUUCAGUGGGCCCCACUUCCCUUCCCUCCUCCCCUCCCUGAAGGCCCCUCCCAGACCGCUUGGCCUCCGGCCUUGCCUCCUCCAACCUGAUCUCCUGGGGUUGCUCAAGGGUCUCCUCUAAAAAGCAAAUCCGGUCUUGUCUUUCCCCUGCCUGCCGCAUUCCGUGGCUCCUCACUGCUCUCAGGAGAAAGACCAAAGUCCCUGUGUGCUCCCAAGCCCUCUCCUGAUGAUGCAGAGGCGUGGCCCAUAGGGACUGAGAGCUGCUCACUUCAGGCAGAAGCCAGGCAUCCUGGCAGCCCCUGAGAGCCGCCCAGCUGGCCAGAAGGACCUGCUCCCAGGCCUCCCUUUCCCUGUAAUUCAUAUAUAGAAAGCAUCUAAAUCAGGAGCCAACCCUCCACCAGAGGGAGCGGCGCCCUGGAGGUGGAAGUGGAGCUUUUCUUAGUCAUUACAUUUGGUUUUGUUUUGGGGGAAAAAAACAAAAUGAAACAAUUAAGGUCUUAUUUUCACAAUCACCUGUGGAAUGAGGAGGCUUCCAGAUGGUAUUUGGUGAGAGCACCAGGAACCUUGUGGUCCUGUGAGGGCAUUCAGGGGUAGGGAGUCUAACUCAUCACCCAAUCCUCAUGGCUCCAACUUUAAACACACCCAGAAGCCUAUCUCGUCCCCCAGCCCAGCUCCGUCGCCUGCACCUGGUCCAAGCUGAGGCCCCUCUGCCCCAGCCUCCUGGUUGCCCCACUGUUUCUGCCCUGGGCCUGCUCCAGUCCCUUCUCACGGACAGCCAGAGCCAAGCCUCUGCUCCAGUAAGGGAUCUCUCCAAAGGCUCCUGUCUCCCUCCGGGUAAGGCCAGGGUCCUAAUCACGGCCCACAGAGGCCGACACCACCGCCUCUGACCUCCCUCCCUCUGUCUCCAGCUUUCCUGGGAUCCCGCCUGGGAUCCCCUCUGCCCAGCACUCAGACCUCCUGCACCAGCUGUUCCCCUGCCUGGAACAUUCUCCACUCCCCCCAGGUCCACAGGGUCUGAGCCUCAUGUCCUACAGAUGUCACUCAAAGGGUGGCCCUUCACUGGCUUCCCUGAUGGCACCACUUCCUGCCCACUGGUCCUUCUCCCCCUCCCUCACUCUGCCUCAUCUAGCCCUGGACACUCCACCAAUCUGAUACAUCUUUAUUUCUCUGUUUAUUGUCUAGUUUCCCUCCAUGCCCACCAGGAUGUAAGCUCUGAGAGCAGGGGCUUUGUUUCAUUCGCUGCCAUAAUUCCAGUACCAAGAACAAUGCCUGGCACCUCCUAGUAGGUGCUCAAUAAAUAUUUAUUGAAUGAAUGAAUGAUUGAAUUAUGUCUGUCAUUGACAGAGGGAAGUCUGGGCAACAUAGUGAGACCCCAUCUCUACCAAAACUAAAUAAUUAGCCAGGUGUGGUGGUGCAUGCCUGUAAUCCCAGCUACUCCAGAGGCUGAUACAGGAGGAUUGCUUGGUCCCAGGAGGUAGAGGCCACAGUGAGCCAUGAUCACACUGCUGCACUCCAGCCUAGGCAACAGAGAGAGAUAUAGUCUCAAAAAAAAAAAAAAAAAAAGGAAAAGAAAAAAAGAAAAGAAAAUACAUAGGGGUGGGCAGAUUUCCCCUAAGAUGCUCUAAGGAUGCCCUCUCUAGGUGCAGGAGUCAGUCUAAAGUUACCUCCUGGGGGAAGUCUUCUGUCCAGUUUUUAAAUGGAAGUUCUAGCUGCAGGCAGCAAGUCUCAUCACUGAAUAGAACCGGUUUUCAUUUGGUGCAAACACUAUCUCCUCCAGGAAGCCCUCCCAGGACCCUUCCCAGCCCCUAGUGAAAGUGCCUCCCUCCUGCUAGCCUGCCACUUUCUCCCUUGUGGUCCAUUCUGGAUGUCAGUGCCGGGCCAGUGAGCAUCCUAGCGGGCGCCUGAGUCAUACCCGGAGUGCACCUGGAGAGCCCCUUUCUGCUCACACUUUACAGGGCCCCAUGCUGGCCUCAGACACGCCCAUCUUCUCAUUUAAGCCUUACAACAACCUUCCGAGGUAGUCAUCACCAUCCCCAUCUUACAGAUAAGGAAACUGCGGUCAGAGGCCACAGAGGUGACUUACCCGAGCCCCACACCUGGUGUCACAGUGGAGUGGAGCCUGGCUCCUUGGCCCUGAGUUCAGCCCCCAUCACAGCUGCCGAAUUCACAGUCAGUGCUCAACACGUGUUCACGUGUUUGGAGGACGAACCAAACCCGAGUUCUCGGGGCUCCCCAGCCAGCAUGAAGACCGUGUAACCACAGCACGCAUGGGCGGGCCGCUUGGCAAUGGCCAGGCUCAUGCUCUACUGAGCCCCUGGGGGUCACGACUCCCCUGCUGCUCUGUGCAGAGAAAGAAAAGGCAGUCACCUCUCUCUUCCCUCACUGGAAGGUGAGGCCCAGGGGGUCCGGCCUGUGGGAUGUGAAGAAGCCACACAUUGGUGCCCAUCACCUGGUCCUCAGCCUCUCCUUAGGGCAGAGUCGAGGCCCAGAAGGUUGAAAGAGCUGGAAGCUGGGGAAGAGCCUGCACCAGUGCCUUUGCCUCUUAUCAACCUGGUGAGCAGGAAGUACAGGAUCGUUUUGAAUUCAGCAGAUUUUGAAUAAUGCCAGAUCAGGAGUGGAUCUCUGGGUCCUUGGAGGGACUCUCUGGAAUUUCCUUAUCUGACCUAGAAAGUGUCUUGCCAAAAGAAACACAUUUGCCUUCUGUCCGUCUGAUACCCCAUUAUCCACUGCAGAAAAGAAGCCGGAAGAAAAGAAGUCAGAAGUCCAACCACAGCUGGAUGGACUUUUCCACAACAUAAUGUCUGCCUCUCAGACUCAUUCCAUUCACAAGUUGAUUUCUGUCUCCCUGAUCCAUUCAUUCUCCUUAAUAAUCAUUUACUGCUCCUCAAAACAAUGCUCUAUGUUUCCCAUCUCCUCGCUCCCCUGGGAAAAAGAGUACAUAAGCUUCUGUACCCCAUUGGGGGAUUGGGGUAAUCACACUGUAAUUCUCUCCCAUGAAUGUUAAUAAAUGUGUAUCCUUUUUCUCCUACUAAUCUGCCUUUUGUCAGGUGAUUUUCAGUGAACCUUCAGAAGGAAAAGGGGAAGUUUUCCCUUCACCCAUAUGCAGGCAUGUAAAGAUGUUCAUUGCAGUGCUGUUUAUAGCAGAGAAAAUGGCAAACACAAUCAAACAAUAGGGGGAUAGUUAAGAAAAAAAUGCACAGUUGCAGUUAGACUGGUCUCUACCGGCAGGGAGGUUUUUUUUCACCCUUUUUGAUUCUCACAGCAGCCCUAUGAUGUAGACAAAACCGGGUUCACAUUUAUUCUCCCCAUUAUUCAUGGGGGUGGGGGCCAGGAUGCAGACUGAGUUUUGAGAAAUUCUGGGCAGAGCUUCCAACAGGGAAUCAGAUUCUGAACUGGGACAGCUCCCAGGUGUCCUAAAGCGGAAUCCAGAGCUGACUCACAGCAGCGUGUGUCUGACAGGGGGAUCCAGCGGCAAGUCCCUACUCUUGGAUAAAGAUGAAACCACCUUUGCGAAAAUUAUGACAGAGGCCGGGCACGGUGGCUCACACCUGUUAUCCCAGCACUUUGGGAGGCCAAGGCAG